rnacentral:tRNA from 1 species
AUCGAGAUGGCGCAGCGGAAGCGUGCGGGCCUCAUAACCCCGAGGUCCCAGGAUCGAAACCUGGUCUCGAUA